rfam:Ovis aries breed Texel chromosome 10, whole genome shotgun sequence.
UCUCUGAUAGUCCAAUGGUUAAGACUCUGCACUUUCAGUGCGAAGAGUACAGGUUCAAUCCCUGGUCAGGAAA